UCCCUGAAGUUUGAGAGUGGCUGGUGAGUAACACGCGGGUUACCUGCCUGUAAGACUGGGAUAACUCCGGGAAACCGGGGCUAAUACCGGAUGCUUGUUUGAACCGCAUGGUUCAAACAUAAAAGGUGGCUUCGGCUACCACUUACAGAUGGACCCGCGGCGCAUUAGCUAGUUGGUGAGGUAAUGGCUCACCAAGGCAACGAUGCGUAGCCGACCUGAGAGGGUGAUCGGCCACACUGGGACUGAGACACGGCCCAGACUCCUACGGGAGGCAGCAGUAGGGAAUCUUCCGCAAUGGACGAAAGUCUGACGGAGCAACGCCGCGUGAGUGAUGAAGGUUUUCGGAUCGUAAAGCUCUGUUGUUAGGGAAGAACAAGUACCGUUCGAAUAGGGCGGUACCUUGACGGUACCUAACCAGAAAGCCACGGCUAACUACGUGCCAGCAGCCGCGGUAAUACGUAGGUGGCAAGCGUUGUCCGGAAUUAUUGGGCGUAAAGGGCUCGCAGGCGGUUUCUUAAGUCUGAUGUGAAAGCCCCCGGCUCAACCGGGGAGGGUCAUUGGAAACUGGGGAACUUGAGUGCAGAAGAGGAGAGUGGAAUUCCACGUGUAGCGGUGAAAUGCGUAGAGAUGUGGAGGAACACCAGUGGCGAAGGCGACUCUCUGGUCUGUAACUGACGCUGAGGAGCGAAAGCGUGGGGAGCGAACAGGAUUAGAUACCCUGGUAGUCCACGCCGUAAACGAUGAGUGCUAAGUGUUAGGGGUUUCCGCCCCUUAGUGCUGCAGCUAACGCAUUAAGCACUCCGCCUGGGGGAGUACGGUCGCAAGACUGAAACUCAAGGAAUUGACGGGGGACCGCACAAGCGGUGGAGCAUGUGGUUUAAUUCGAAGC
rnacentral:rRNA from 1 species